CCCCCCCAUCAGGUGUUUGUGCCCAAACACACCGUUUCCGGUGUCCUGUUUGUGAGGGAAAAAGGGAUAUAAUACAUUUUCUCCAGCUGCUUUUGCAAGGAGGAAGUGUCUUCCCUCAACACCUGCAAUGCCCAGCUGAUGUCCUGAAUGCUAAUUUGUGAUUAUCUUUUGCUUAACGUCCGUCCUUUCAACCGUUGUGGAUCAAAAUGAUUUUCCUACAGUGUUGGACUUAAUGACCUUCUGCAGCAGCGGGCUGAGCAGAACGAGCUGCUCCAUAAAGCGCUUUUGUUAAUUUGCCUUAAAGUUCUCUAUUAUUAAGUUAAUCAGUUGCUAUUUCUCUUGCAUAUCAGCUGUGCUCAGAGCACUUUUACAGCUUAAUGGCACACAGAAGAUAACCCAGGGGCGCACCAACUGAAGUCUGCCAUCCUGGUUGCUCGCUGUAGGCCCCUCUUCCAGAACUCACCAUUUCACCGAUGAAGCAGCAACCUAGGAUGUGGUUUGUCAGCUCUCCGAAGCUGGGGUGAAUGGGACCUGAUCGAUAUUUGGAUGAGCCACCUCGUUAGGUGUUGCGGACCGCGCUGCUGGUGAUUCAUCCGGUGGCUUUCGUCUGUCUAUGAGUCAGGGCUGAACAAAUGCCACUGUGCAGUGCUUGUGGGCUCUGCUGUCCAGUUGCACGGCACUGGAGAGCUUUGCCAAUUGGAUCUGUUGAGAGAUCACUUGUGUGCUGUUCAGCUGCACAGCAUUUGAGAGUUCUGCCAACUGGAUCUGUUGAGUGAUCACUUGUUUUCCUAUCUUUCUCUGGUUUUAAAACUCUCCCUUGCAUCCCUUGCAGGUGAAAUUAAGUGAUCAGGGCAAUGUUUUGUGUGCACUGGUACAGAUUUAUGGUGAGGGGGAAAAGCUGAGAGUGUUUUGGACUGUUCUCCCUGUUCUCACUGGUCCAUGUGGCGUAUAGGUUUGCACUACAUGACACAGUCUGCUUCCUUCUUUUUUAGGUCACAGAUACUUAAACACCCGCGUAUAAAAUUCCAUUUUCUGCUGGAAGAACAUUUAAAGUCACCUGAAAAUCAUUCUGAGUAAUAUAAGGACUAGGGAAAGCAAUAUAGUGACCUCUUUGUCUCUUUUCAUGGACUGAUGUGAAUAAAUGGAUUUUUCUAAAAUAAAACAAAAUUAAAUUGAGAUUAUUUACCAGUCUAAAUUGGAUGUGCAGAUUUCAGCUACUUGCAGAUGAUUGACCAAAUGCCCCUGCUUUCAUCUACUGUAGAACUUCCCAGAAGAAGCCAUGGAGGCAUAAUUUCUUUACUGUCUUGUAUCAGAUAGACAUCCAAGUAUUCAUGAAAAGCAUUUAUGAAAUUGAGAUGGUAGCUAAAGCCUGUAUAUGAGACAAGAAGACAAAUCCAUCAGAGGAUUUGCAGUUUAUUCUCUUAAGAUGUAUAAUUAUUUGUCUGAUAGUGCUCCCUUUGUGUAGCCGUCUUUUCUUCAGUCAAACAAAGGUACCAUCUGUAGGGAAUUCUGAAGAACUGAUGUAAACAUUUCAUGUUUGCAUUAAGUUUUACUAACUCAUAGAAAACAAGCAGCAAUGCAGUGCUUGGAUAAGGAAUGGGUAACUCAUGCUAAUUUUAAAAUCUGGGUCACUUUACUCAAAUUUACAUUUCUCUCCAUCCUUGCUGGGAAAGCAGAAAGUCUCAAAUUCUGAAGUUAUAAUAAUAUGACUGUUCACCACUUCAACACACAGCAGUGUUGAUAAACAGUGACCAGCAGGCUUGCACUCCACAUUUACUAUCAGCAAACUGGUUUAUCAUCCAAACUUCAGGUGAAAACACUGCUGGGAACAUUUACCAUGAUCUCAUGAACCACGAAGACAGGAGUUUGUACUAGACUGUGAAAACCAGAAGGUAGCAAGUGCAUGAAUAUAGCUCCACCAAAAUAAGCAAGCUAUAAGUUGGCAGCAGCUUUAUGAGGUAUCCAGUAUCUUCACCUGAACUGCACUAACAGUCAUCAUGUUAGUCCAGAUCUCUUUCAAAGAAGCUGCUGGUCAUUAGGAGUUAUCUACUGGCUUCUGGUUUGUCUGAAAUGAGGUGAACUGUAAAAAUCCCUCUUUAAUGUUGCAAUGAUGUAUCAAAAUAAAAGUUUGAUGAGAACUGUAUAAUGCUAGGCAUGAUUCAUUUCAAUAGUAAAAUACAUGUUUAUGGGGAAAAAAAGAAGAGCCUGAGAUUUAAUUGGUACGAUCAGCUGGGUUUUUACACAGUUUGACAAACUAGUAAAAUUAAAACGCGUCAAGCAGUGGCAUAUAAUAAAAUGUUUAUUGUCUCCUUAAUUUGUUUUUUAUUUUUAUCAAAAUAUGGACGGGUGCCUUAAAAAGACACAAAUCCAGGAAUCUCUGGCUUCUUUACCUGCUUUUCAUGACAAAGAUGAUGAAGACAAUCAUUCUUUGAUAGGAUUAAACCAGUUGAAUAUUCAGAAUUAUGUUACCAAAAUGAAUGGGAGAGUUAAAUGGAUAAAAAUGUUAAUCCAGUCAUAGACAACAAAAUUCAGCCAUUCAGAUCUGGCAUUAUGGGAGCAGCUCUAACACAGUAUCAAGGAUUUGAGGUAAAUUGCUGUUUGUUUCAUUCAGAGAGUGGGUGGAAUAUGCUAUUUCCCUUACUGAUUCAUCUCCUUUUCUGGAAGAGAUGCCACCAAAUUUAACAGGAUUACUUGCAAAAUAGUGCAUUGCUCAACAAGAACAGGCAUGGCAGAUCAUUUCCUUAAGAUGUUCAGGUGCAAAAACAAACCAAACUCUAUGAGAAAGAAUUAAUUAGUUUAAAAUUUUUUGAACAUUGUGCCAAGAUUAAGACUUUGAAAACAUUAGCUGGAGCCCUACUGAAAGAGUGGUCUAAUUGUGUGGCAUUUAAUUACUUAUAGGUGUAUUUGCCAACUGGAAAGGAAAAGUAAAAUAAAGUCAGGGAUUACAUGCACAGAAAGAGCGACUACACAGUUUAGAUCCUGAGUUCAUUUAUCUCACUUUAUUAAAACAGAGAAAUAUAUAUAUGGCACAGAACUACUUGUAACAUUACUUUUUAAACUUAAGUCAAAAACCCCACAUCCGAGUGAUGAAAUGUUCCAAACAAUGACAUUCAUCCUCUUGAAUCAGAUUCUUGAAGCUGAUUCUUUUGUACCAUGUAAAUCUUAGUUGUUUCUGGAUAAACAUAUUGAAAUCAGCUGCUAGAUGAACAAUGAUUUUUUCCAUCAUGAAUUGAAGGUAUCAUUUUAUAUUACAGAAAGCUUUGAAUCCAUACCUAAAACAAUGGUUGUCAACACCAACAAAGCAGUAUUUAUUGGCUUCAUAAGUUUUAAAAACUAUUGAUAUUUUUUUGGCUUUGUACACUGGGAUAAUUAUGAACUGUCUUCAGUGAUCUCUUUGUAAAAUAACAGUUGGCUGGUAAUAGAUAAAGCUGAAUAAUCAGUCAGUCCUGGCCGUAAUGGAAACGUUUACCAGAAGCAUAUUUUGAAUUUGUGCUUCUGCUUGGAAUAAGAUUGGAAUACUUUUAUUGCCUUUCUUUUCAGGUCAUGAUUAGAAGUUAGACAUCAUAAGACCUACUGGUUGGAAGCAGGAAGACUUACACCAUUCACAUGCUAAAUUUAAAAUGCCAGGCACACCGGUCCAUAUUUAUAUAGGGAUUUUUUCUUUCCUAAAUAUUCAGUAUUUCAGACCUGAGCUUUUUUUUUUUCCAGUAGAUUUGCUGUCAGGAUAAGCAGUACUUUCCAUUUCAUCAGAUGGACCACCAGGAGUUCAGCAUGAAUUGUCUGGAAAAUUGGCUUUCUUUUGGUACCUGGCAACAUUCAGGAUGGAUUGACUGUGUUUAGGACUUUUUGACCUAGUUCAGUGGCAAGGAGGUUACCUUUCCAAUUUAAGCAGCUCUGCCUCUAACUUGAGGAGUUUUGAGACACACAAGAUUUCUAUUAUCUUGUUCUGAAUUGCAGGGCUUGAGGUUUUUGCUGUGACUCCUCUCCUUUUUUCCAGCCCUUUUGAAGGACCAGGCUCAUGUUGUGCUUGCAGACAAAGAAGCUGAAGAAAGUUUUCGUCAACUUCUUCACAUAAGGGUGCAUUUUAAACUUGUUCUGUAGAAGGCCUCGCAGUGCAAGUCCUUGUCUGGCAAGAUAACAGCCUUAAUUCAGCGUGCUCACAGAAUACUAAUUAGUCUCUUCAUUCAGAUUUUCCUAUUUUUCUUUUUUUUUUCUUUUUCCAAGAGUACUGAAUAUAUAGCAUGUCGCCAACAUUCUCUGUGGUUUUCUGGAAGAGUUUAACUGCUUCGUGGUGGCUUGGAGAAGGCUGGUUCCUCUCUCUUUUUUUUUUUUCUCAAGACUUUUUCUUCCAAAUGAGGUAUCCAGACGGUGUGAAAGCAUCAUCUGUGUGUUUAGCACCUACAAACUGUGCAACGGUGGAAAUCAAGUAUACUUCACUAGCUUCAGAAUAAUGGAACCAUUGAAAAUUUAUGAACCAGGAUGAACACAAAGAACAGUCUUGUUUUGUAAAGUUAUGUGCAGGAAAAAGCUCAAGUCAUGGUUGAUGAGGUGUCUCAGAAAUAUUAACAGUGUCUAGCAACUGGCAAUUGGUUCCUGUGGCAGGAAAUAGCUAAGGCAGCUCAGUGCUACAAGCAGUAGAAGCUGACCUUAUUGUUGUUGGAAUUGUAGUUUCCUCCUUUUUAAUCAUCUGUGUUGUAAGUGAAUUUGUUUUAGCCUCUGAAGAAUACAUAUUCCACUUUUGUGUGGUCUCUGCUCAUUUGGUAAGAAUGGUACUGGCUAAUGUACACACAGCUCUUGGGCAAGCUAAACUGCUUAGCUGGUGACUUGGUUUAUGCAAUUGUGUUUGUUACAGAAACAUGGCAGGAUGCAUGUCUAUGCCAUGAAGGACUAUUAAAACAAAGACACCACCUCUGGCUUUGGGAGUCUCAGAGCCACAAAUUGCCAGUGGCUGGGAAGACACAGGGGAGAGGUACCACUGUGCAGUUGCCCAAUGCAUUGCAGUGGGGCGUUGCUGGAGACAGAAUGCCAAGCUUUGAUCUGACCCACCAUGUCUGUGUUCAUCUACAUCUGCUUUUAUGUUUUGUCUGUGCAUGAUGUUUUUAACAAAGGAUAGGCAAUAAAUUAAAUCAUUUUUUGUUAGUCUGUAAGGAAAACUAUCCACUUGAAACCAAUGGCCCUAGUCAGGGUUUUGUCCUGCUCUGUAUGUUGAUAUAGGUGGUGAUGAACAUUAAUAUAUAUGAGACAUGAGUAGAAAACACAAGUACCUGUUAAAGUCUUAGAUUCUUGCCAAGAAAAAUUGGUCAAUGAAGUCAAAACUUUUUGUUCUCUUUGAAGCAUCUCUGUAGUUCUAGCUGAUUCUAUUUUAACACUGGAAACUAUUUAAUUCUUCUUUACUUUCCUCUAAAUCGUAGAGAUUUAGAGAAUCUAAAUCUUUCCAGGCAUUUCAAGUAGAAACAAUAGUAAAUCCUUCUGAAUGCUACUGUGGAUACUUCUUUUUAGCCUGAGAGAUUCUACUGACUGUAGAAGUGAGUAGUUUCUGUUUAUUUUCUCAUGUUCUUACAAACAAAGAUACAACUGACAAAUGCUCCCCAUGAAGUAAUAACAAGAUAAGAAAAAAAGAAGGAAGAAAAAUAAAUAGUCUGAACUUCUAUUUGAGAUUUUUCAACUUGAGCUCUUUGAAUCCAAGCAAUGAGUAUGUUCAGUGAUGACAGCUCACGCUGGUGUCUUGUACACUGACCAGCCUUCCAAAUGAUAAGUCGUGUAUUUUCUUUUGUUUUGGAGGGAUCUAUCUUUGGAAAGGGGGCUCACACAGCUUGAAAUUUUGUUUGCAACAUGAAAAGAAAGAAUAAUAUUUCUUAUGCUGUUUUGAUGUCUGUUCCAGAGUAGAUGAACACAACUCCGAAGUCUCUUUAAAAUGAGAAGGGUCUGGAGAAUGAAAUCAAUGUAGUCAGCCUAGACCACAGUCCUCAGCUCAGUGCUGUGGUGAGAAGAUCCACUGCUAUCUCACCAUGGAAUAUACAAAAAAUCCUUGUGUAUACGUGUAGAUUGUGCUAUUUUUUGAAAAGAGGAAAUCUGGGAUAUCUCUUCUGGUGAAGCUAUGAUUUAAAACUUUUGAGAAACAGGCAUCAAACUCAUGAGAAAUGAUUAUUACCUUUCUUUAUAAAGCGUUUUCACACUGUGGAAAGUACUUCAAUGUUCUGAGCAUUCUUUAAAAUACGGACAUGUUGCCAACUUGAGAAAAUAAGGAACUUCAUCAUUACAAUUCCUGUUACAUAACCCUCUCCACCUCUGCUUUUCAUCUUAUACUCAUGAUUUAAGUUUUAAGACCUGCCUCAGUGUGAGUCUGUGUUCUUUGUACAAGUAACACUUUGGCUGGAGCAUCAACAUCAGACUUAUAAUGAAAAAAACAUAGUUUGCUUCCAACCUCUUCAUGUGGUGUUUUGCAUUUUCGAUAUUACUGCACAAACAUCAUUCUGGAUUGAACAAUUUGUUUCAUGCAAAAUUUGCUAUGCCUGGUGAAUUGAUCAUUUUGAGUUUCCUGGUAGAUGAUAUGAGAUACUCUUUUUUCCAUUUCAGAUUCAGGUCACAUUGUGGCCUCUCAUCAAAGACACUGCUGAGUCUUGCUCUUGUUUUCCUCCAGGAUAUUGCAGAAUUGGCUCUUUGGUCUUAGAUCACUCACAGAGCCUUCCCCUCUGCUAUCUUUUUUGUACCUUUGGCUUAGACACUGUUCCUGUGUUUUACUUUCUGUGCAGUGCAGCUC